rnacentral:sRNA from 2 species
UUCUAGCCGCGAUGGAAACGGCAUCCUUUUUUGUGAUUGCGAGGACGAACAUUUUCAACAGCGUACCGCCCUUUGUUCGCAAUCACAAAAAAGAUACAGUGGACAGCGCGUGAAGUC